UACGUAGGGUGCGAGCGUUAAUCGGAAUUACUGGGCGUAAAGCGCGCGUAGGCGGCUUUGCAAGUCGAGUGUGAAAUCCCCAGGCUUAACCUGGGAACUGCAUUCGAGACUGCAUAGCUAGAGUAUGGGAGAGGGAAGUGGAAUUUCAGGUGUAGCGGUGAAAUGCGUAGAUAUCUGAAGGAACACCGGUGGCGAAGGCGGCCCCCUGGACCGGUACUGACGCUGAGGCGCGAAAGCGUGGGUAGCAAACGGG
rnacentral:rRNA from 1 species